UACGGAGGGUGCAAGCGUUACUCGGAAUCACUGGGCGUAAAGAGCGCGUAGGCGGGAUAGCAAGUCAGCGGUAAAAAUUCGGGGCUCAACCCCGUCGUGCCGUUGAAACUGAUGUUCUUGAGUGGGCGAGAAGUAUGCGGAAUGCGUGGUGUAGCGGUGAAAUGCAUAGAUAUCACGCAGAACUCCGAUUGCGAAGGCAGCAUACCGGCGCCCAACUGACGCUGAAGCACGAAAGCGUGGGUAUCGAACAGG
rnacentral:rRNA from 1 species